rfam:Felis catus breed Abyssinian Contig131233.1, whole genome shotgun sequence. [26-MAY-2016]
GCCUGGGUGGCUCAGUCGGUUGAGCAUCUGACUUCAGCUCAGGUCAUGAUCUCGCAGUUCGUGAGUUCGAACCCUGCGUCGGGCU